GGCCAGCCACUCAGCAACGUCCUGGGGCCAGUACCAAGGCCAGACCGAUUAGAAUGCUCAUGAGGAACUAAAUGGCCAUAUCUUCAAUGCAUUAUACUUCGAUAAUGACCAUCAAGAACCAGAAGGCCCUAUUAUAAAAUCAUUAGUUGUAAAAUUAAUGAUGGUGACCUUCUACUAAAUGAAAAGACCCUAUCUCUUUAUGUCCUGUGUAUUAACUGGUAAAUAAAUAUAAAUUUUUACUCAAUGACCAUCAUAAGCAUAUUUAGAAGAGAACAUAUUGCUUUAAAAAUGCUCUUGCAAUAUGAAAUGAAUUUGCUUAUUAAUAUCUGCUCAAUAUAAACCUAAAAAGUUACUCUCCAGCAGUAAUCAGUAAAAUUACUUUUUAAAAGUUUUUACAGUUUUUGUUACCUAAGAAAGUUGAUUAACCAGACUAAAAUAAUUUUUUUAGGAAGGGAUUUAUUUUCACUAUUCUUUUGACUGGCUUUUACUUGAUAGUCCUAUAUGAAGAAAAAAAUCCCUUCUGGGGAUUCUCCCUAUGGGGGAAAUUGCAUUUUUAAAAAAUGUCACAAUUACUUUCUUGAAAAAUAAAUUAAUAUAUACAUGUGAAGUUGAAUUUCACCUUACAUAAGAGAUAAUAUAAUUCUAGUGUUUUAUCAUAUAGAAAUAUUUAUCAAAACCUUUAAUUCUUUGUAUUUAGACACAAUAAAAUGCUAAAUAUAAUUAACAUUCUGGAAUAUUACUGUAGGAGGAGCCAUAAGAAAAAGAUUAUCUUUCGUAUUUGAAUUUCCAUAGUUUUUCCUCAGAAUUUCCAUACUUUUUCCUCACUUGCAAGUUCUGAAAAUAGGUUUAUAUAUAUAUAUGUGAAUAAAUAAAAUCAUGCAUUUAGAGACACCAGUAAAAACAGAAGCAGCACAGUUUACCAGACCAGUAAGGCAGCAAGCAUGCUAACAUAGGGACGUCUUUGCCUGUCCUGUCGACCAUGGCUUGUGCACCUCUCCACACAGCUUUCCCAAACUAGUCUGCCCACACCAACCUGCACAGAGCACGUACCAUGUGCAGUUGGCUCUGCUUGGGGUCCUGGAUUACACAUCUUCUUACCUACCUGGCUUUCUUCUAAGUCUUUACCGUUUUAGGACAGAUUAAGCCAAUAGACAGCAAUUUCAUGACUUUAAUGCCUUUUCUUUCUUUUGAAAGAUUACUUUUAUUGCCAUCAUUGCUAGAUUUUUGUCAAUCUGGCAAAAAAUGGGACCUCAGUAGUUUGCUGUCUUGUAAGUGAAGCUGAAUCUUCAUUUAAAAGCAAGUCUGUCUUCUGUGAUCUUUCUUUGCAUGUCUUUUGCUAUUUGUCUACAGAGAUAAUGGUGUUUUCCUCUUCCUUUCACAGGAGUUCUACAGAUAGUGAGGAGAUUAGCCCUUUGUGAUACGAAUGGCAAAUACGUAUUCCCAGUUUGUCAUUUCUUUUAUGAGUCUUUGCAUUUAUGGCUUCUGUGUUUUGAGUCAUAGUUACAAAGGCUUUCAUGGUUUUAGUUUUUACAUUUAACUAGUAUUUAUUUUUGGGGAAUACAUCCUGACAGAUGGUAUAGGUUGUAAGAUGUUUUACAUUUUAACUUUAAUAGCUAAUGUCAUACCUUGGUAAUACUUUUCUCUGCAUUUAUUUAAUUAUCGGCAAGGCAGAAUAUUAUUCUCUGCAUUUGUUUUCUGUUUGUAUUUCAUCUUGGAUGAAUAGUCUUUACCUGUGUUUUAAAUGUUAGUCUUCGGGAUCUCAAUCCUUUUCUUGCCAAAUGCAAAUGUCCCUUAUAUAGCACAAAUGGGAUUAGGGUAUUUAUUGCAAAUGUUUUUCCCCAGCCUAAUUUUGUCUUUUUAUAUUUCUAUGUUCCAUGGAUUUUUAGUUUUUUUACACAUUAUUUACCUUUUUAAAAAAUGAUUUUAAUUCUUUACAGCACCUAAACCAGUAAGCAAGGUUGGACCUUAAAUAGUUGCAGAAAUUCUUUUAGACAGUGAUAACUGCCUUAGCUAUUUUACUUCUAUAGCAGUUAUGACCUAGUUUCUUUAAAAUUAGUGAAAUAAAAUGAUGGUAAGCAACGAACGACAGAAAAGAAUCUUCUAAAAGAAACCCAGGAUAUUAUUACCACGAGCCUUUGUACGGAUGUAACCCAGGCCAUCCACAUGUGUCCUUGAUUACAAGUCAUACCAAGGAGAGGAAUAAUAAUGAAAAUCAUUAAUUUUUUAAAAUGUCAUUUGAUCCUUAAAAUGAUCCGUGGAAUCAACAUACUGUAAUCCUAAAUGUUAAAGGUGGUGAAUAUGUUUAUAUCCUUGAUUUGUUUAUUACGCACUGUACCCCACAAGGAUGUAUGAUUAUAUGUAAAUCAUAAAUCAGAAUAUUAAAAAUAAUCUGUGAAGUAGUGUUAUUGGUAUGAAGAAGAAAUAGGUUCUCUGUGGCACGCAGAACCCUACAGAUGUCAGAAGCCUAGAUACGCUAUUGCCUGAACCUCCAUCCACAGCAGAGGAGCCGUCUCUACAUCUCAGACAUCACAUGUACGUACAACACGGAAGGAAGGUAACAGUCUAGAACUGGUGUUACCUUCCGUUCAACAAGAGCUGCUCUACAAACAGGAAAACCUCCUGGUGUGGAUCUUUUCAAACUAAAGCAGUCAUCUUUGCUACCUACAUCUCUAAGCCAAAAUUGACCAGUAAAAAAUUCACAACAUUUCAAAUUACUCCACUUUUGGUAUGGGGGAGAAAUGUACACUGUAGUUCACUUUAAAACCCCAUUUCGUAUAGAGGUAUGCUUUAGUAAAAUCCAUCUAUUUUCACUUUGGACACAAGUUUUGAAAAAUGGAUGGGCCCACCUAGCCACCCUUCACAACCAAGACAGGACAUUUCUAUCAAGCCAAAAGCUCCUCCUGUUCCCUUGCAGUCAGCCGCCCACCACACGCCUGGGCUUAGGCAUCUGGUGAUCUGCUGUCACUAGAGAA